UACUCAUCCAUUUUUUAAUAAAGUCAUUCAGUUUUUGUCUAGUUUUGUUCUAAGAGAAAACCCUAAUGUGAAGAGGAGAAGAUGAGAGGAAGGAGGAAGAGCUUUGAGGAAGGAUAAUAGCACACUCAGGUCUCUCAUGUCCGUUCUCUCUCAUGUCUUUCUCUCUAGCGUUAAAGGAUUUCUAUUGGGUCGAGCUUCGAUCAAGGGUGACUAUUGGCCUCAUGUCGGCGUUGUGAUUUCCUCACAGCGUAUGUUGGAUCUCAUGGAGAAGAAAGUAAAGCAGUUUGAGCUCUCACCUUGUUGAGGCAUCUGAACAACCAAGCAAGCAACAAUAUUGUUGAAGCUAGACAAAGGUCACUACAAAAAGUUAUAGGCAAGAAACGUGGACUAAAGACAAUGAAGACAAAUCAAGAUAGCGUAGCACGCAACGAUACCGAUGAAGGUUUGCAAAGGUCUCCAAAGAAAAUGGAGGCGAUCCAAGAAAUAGAUGCAGCCAACGUGAACAACAGAAAGGGUCGUGGUCGGCCUCGUGGCUCAAAGAAUAAACCUAAGAAAUAACCAAUAACGCACAAUAAGUUACAACUAGUUACAUUUUAUCAGACUCUUUUGCAAGUUACAUUUGAUUGUUAGAACUGCAUUUCUUUAGAUGUCACUUUGGGUUUUGAUGGUUCAAUUGAAUUGCUAUCGAUGAUGACAAACUCUAAAGCUUGUUUAUCCUUCAUUAGAUGUCUGAUGCUAAU